rnacentral:piRNA from 2 species
UGGUUUGUGGCUUUAAAGUUAAGGAACUUGC